UACGUAGGGUGCAAGCAUUAAUCGGAAUUAUUGGGCGUAAAGGGCGCGUAGGCGGGAUGGUAAGUCGUAUGUGAAAUUCCGGGGCUCAACCUCGGAGCUGCAUAGGAAACUACCAAUCUAGAGGGUAGGCGGAGAAAACAGAAUUCCACAAGUAGCGGUGAAAUGCGUAGAUAUGUGGAAGAAUACCGGUGGCGAAGGCGGUUUUCUAGCUUAUUCCUGACGCUGAGGCGCGAAAGCAAGGGGAUCAAACAGG
rnacentral:rRNA from 1 species